UCCGGAUGCAUGCACCCUCGCCGUACGUAUAGCAGUGUUCGGUGUUGUCCCAGCCCAUGUGUGACUACAGUAAUGAUUAUCAUGUCAAACAGGUACUGCUUAACACAAUGCAGCUUCAAGCACGACACAGCAAAGAGAGCACACUAAUGCUGCAAUCAUUUGCAUGGUGGAAAACAGAUCGCUUUGCCACGCUUCUUCAUUAUAUCCCCGGAAAAAUGCCAAGCUAAGCACUUUUGUUUUCCGGUUAGCUUGUUCACGAGCGGUGUGCUGGCUCGUGUCCUAAAAAUAUCUUCAGAGAAUGCUGUUCCACCACCUCUCAAGUACGUCAUUCGGGAAGGGCGACGCCAUCCAUCUCGUCCCGUUGUUCAAGUGGUAGUUUGAAACGGGGUUCCCCCGGCAUGUUUAGCCGGGCCACGGACACCGAGCAUUUUCUUGCGAAUCGACUUAAUUAUGGUUUCUACUCACCCAGAAAUAUGUAUAGCCGCGGCACGUUCGUUUUCUCCUCUGCAAGCUUGAAGAAUUGUGUCCACGGUUUCGAUUCGUCCUUCAGCGACGACUCGAUCGAUCCUCGAAUUUCUUCCACUUUGUUAGCCAUGGCGAUGUUUUAUGUGCUGUUGCUUCUUCUUUCUGCCUAAUGUUUGGCCGGUGAUUCCCCGCAAGAUGAUGUAAUGACAAUUUAUCGUAAUCACCAGGCGUAUGGAUUGGACCACCGGCGAAGCAUCGUUGUCAUCGUUACACGGGUGGCAGGCCGGCAAUACGAUAGCAUUGGAAAGGAAAUAAAAAUAAGGACAGAAAA